UGAAGCGGCAACAGCUCAAAUUUGAAAUCUGUCUCUUUCAGGGACCGAGUUGUAAUUUGUAGAGGGUGCUUCGGGGUCGGCUCCGGUCUAAGUUCCUUGGAACAGGACGUCACAGAGGGUGAGAAUCCCGUACGUGGCCGGCCGUCUUCCCCAUGUGAAGCCCCUUCGACGAGUCGAGUUGUUUGGGAAUGCAGCUCUAAAUGGGAGGUAUAUUUCUUCUAAAGCUAAAUAUCGGCCGGAGACCGAUAGCGCACAAGUAGAGUGAUCGAAAGAUGAAAAGCACUUUGAAAAGAGAGUCAAAAAGUACGUGAAAUUGUUGAAAGGGAAGCGCUUGCGACCAGACUUGCCCGCAGUUGCUCAACCGGCCUUCUGGCUCGGUGCACUCUUCUGCGGUCAGGCCAGCAUCGGUUCGGGCGGUCGGAUAAAGACCUCGGGAAUGUGGCUCCCCUCGGGGAGUGUUAUAGCCCUUGGUGCAAUGCGGCCAGCCUGGACCGAGGACCGCGCUUCGGCUAGGAUGCUGGCGUAAUGGUCGUAAGCGGCCCGUCUUGAAACACGGACCAAGGAGUCUAACAUCUAUGCGAGUGUUUGGGCGUCAAACCCAUACGCGUAAUGAAAGUGAACGGAGGUGGGAACCCUUGGGUGCACCAUCGACCGAUCCCGAUGUCUUCGGAAGGAUUUGAGUAAGAGCAUAGCUGUUGGGACCCGAAAGAUGGUGAACUAUACCUGAAUAGGGUGAAGCCAGAGGAAACUCUGGUGGAGGCUCGCAGCGGUUCUGACGUGCAAAUCGAUCGUCAAAUUUGGGUAUAGGGGCGAAAGACUAAUCGAACCAUUGUAUCGCGAACCUGUACUGUCAAAGUACAGCUACUAGGUGGUUGAGAGGCGUGAAAGCCUAGUCCUUACCUUUAAGGGCCACACUACUAAAUUGCGGGGACACCUUCCACGGCUUAGACUACCGCGCCCUCUCCGAAAGGGCAGGUGCGGCACCGAGGUUAGUCCCUCGGGUACGGUAAAAAGUUCUAAGAUUGGGUAACCACGCAGCCAAGUCCUAAGAGCCCACACGGGUUACGGAUGCAGUCCACAGACUAAAUAGUAGUGGGUGCGGUCUUAACCGCGCUUAAGAUAUAGUCGAACCACCUCGAAAGGAGGCUCGGGGGGAUGAAGUCUAAUAUGUAAGGGUGGCGUCCUCGGACGUUCUUAUUAGGCCCGAGUCCC
rnacentral:rRNA from 1 species